GGUCUGCAGUUGGCUGGAUACCAGCGUGUCUACCUGGGAACAACAGGACAAAUGGACAAUAAGCUGGACCCAGAACUGAAGUAAAGGAGGAGAACAAAUGAUGUUGCCUUCAGGAAACUGGAAACCAUGUUAACUAUCCCAAGCUUCUCCUGGGUAAAGGGGGACCCAUCUUUUUAAUACAUUGUUAAUACAACAUUUAAUACAUGUUAUUGCAAAGCUGCAAGACAUGGAAGACAACAGUAUCUGAAGAAUGGAAAAUUAGUAUCACCCAGUAGAUAAUGGGGCUGUCCAAGGUGGCUGUGAACAGGCUACAGUGUAUAACCAGUAGGUAAAUCUGAACAGAAGUAAAAGAUGUCACCAGAGAAACUGAUAACAGGAAGAGAACCAGCUUUACUUCCGGGAAAUGUGAAUUGGGGAAAAUUUUCUGAGAAAAAACAAUGUAGGCUCUAAGUCACAGAUACUGAACUUGAUUUGUUUCCUGAGAAAUUCCAUUCACAUUCUCCUCCCAUGAGAUCCAAGAGUCACUGAGGCUUCUGACCCCGGCCUGCCCCAGACAGCCAGUCUUCCCCAGCCCCGAUUUUGUCUGCAGUUUUAUCAGGGUUUUCUAGAAAUAGCAUCAGGAUUUGGUCACCCUGAAUUAUACGAGAGACCUCUGGAACGAUGUCACCGGGUUCCGCCGAUCAAUCCCGGCCUUGGCAAGCCGCGUGUGGGGCUGGAGUCAGCGCCCUGAAGCCCCCAAGCUGACGGAUUAUCGGAAACUUGCAAAAGACAUUUGAGAAAAGAACUUUUAUGAAACCUCCACAUUAAGGUGCCCGAACAAGCAUUUGUUAAAUGCUUAUUGUGCUAGACUGUAAUAGGACACAAAGAGAAAAUGAGACAUCCUGAAAAUCUUAUAUACUCUACCCAAUAACAAGUGUGGAAAUAGCAAUAAUAAUAC